GGCACUGAAAAUGAAGCACAAGUGAAGGAAGCAGGCACCCAGGCAGAUAAUUGACAAUAGGCUCCCAUGGAAGUCUUCUGUGCAUUUCUGCAAAAAUUUAGGAAACAUUAGGUUUGACACCAUCAUCAUGUUUGCCAAGGCAGCAAAAAUCCCAGCCGGCAAAGCUUCAAGUGUGAUGAAGCGGAACAGCAAGGACAGCACGGAAUGACUGAUCAUUUCAGAAUGCCGUCUAGCGAGAGUUUCCAAUGUGGGAGUUUUCCAUUGUUUUGAAGCAGGAGAAAUAGGGACCGGCUGCUUUGGAAGAAACAUGCUGUAGGUAGGAUUUCCUCUUCUUUCUUUUCUACCUGACUUUCUGC
rnacentral:lncRNA from 1 species